GCCGGCGGAGCUUACCAUGCAGUCGAGCGGUAGCGGGAGGAGCUUGCUUCCUCGCCGACAAGCGGCGGACAGGUGAGUAAUGUCUGGGGAUCUGCCUGAUGGAGGGGGAUAACUACUGUAAACGGUAGCUAAUACCGCAUAACGUCUCACGACCCAAGUGGGGGACCUUCUGGCCUCUUGCCCUCUCAUAAACCCCCAUGGGAUUAUCUAUUAUGUGAGGUAAUGGCUCACCUAUGCGACAAUCCCUAUCUGGUCUGAGAGGAUGACCACCCCCACUGGAACUGAGACACGGUCCACACUCCUACGGGAGGCACCACUGGGGAAUAUUGCGCAAUGGGCGCAAGCCUGAUGCACCCAUGCCCCGUGUAUGAAAAAAGCCUUCUGGUUGUAAAGUACUUUCUCUAUGGAGGAAAGUGUGCGUGUUAAUAGCACGUGCAAUUGACAUUACCUACACAAAAAACACCGGCUAACUCCCUGCGCCCACCCGCGGUAAUACAGAGGGUGCGAGCGUUAAUCUCAAUUACUGUGCGUAUAGCGCACGCACGCGGUUUGUUAUGUUGUAUGUGAGAUCUCCGGGCUUAUCCUGUGAACUGCGUCCAAGACUGUGAAGCUAUAGUCUCGUAUAGAGAGGUAUAAUUCCACGUGUAUCGGUGAGAUGCGUAUAGAUCUGGAGGAAUACCGGUGGCGAAAGCGGCCUCCUGGGCGAAAACAGACACUCACGUGCGAAAGCGUGUGGAGCACACAGGAUUAUAUACCCUGGGAUUCUACGCUGUAUACGAUGUCUAUUUGUAGGUUGUGCGCUUGAGGCGUGGGUUCCGAAGCUAUCACGUUAAAUCUACCCGCGUGUGGGAGUACAGCCGCAAGGUGAUAACUCUAAUGUAGUUGACGCGGGGCCCGCACAAGCGGUGGUAGCAUGUGGUUUUAUUCUAUGCACGCGAAAAACCUCUAUCCUACUCUUGUAGAUCCAGCGAAUCCUCGUGAAGAUACUCGGAGUGUCCUUCUGGAACACCUGAGACAGGUGCUGCCAUGGCCUGUCGUCUACCCUCUGUUGUGAAAUGUUGGGGUUAAAUCUCCUCAACAAGAGCAACCUAUAUCUCUUGUUGGCCACCGCGUUUCGCCUCGGUAAUUCAAACGAGGAACUGUUCACGGUAAUAUUGUAUGUGUAUAUGUUGUGUGUAUAUAUGUCUUCCCAGUACACUCACGGACCCUCUUUUCA
rnacentral:rRNA from 1 species